GCACAUGGUAUUUGAUACAUUUGCAAGACAAUUUCUGUAAUGAGUUUUGUGUACAUGCUGUGUGAAAGCCAAUUCUUAAAUAAAAUUAACGUACGGUUAUAUGCCUGCGAGCUAUUUAUUAAUUACAAACAAAAAACAAAAAAACCCCACAGCGAUUAACUCUGUUCUACUCGGGCUUUUAUGCAAAGUGUUAUUACUCCUCUUGCCCCAUGUUUUGUUGUUGUCAAUUGUAUUCCAUCAUCUGUCAAAGUUGCCAUUUAACGCUGCGCGUGCUGCUCGUGUGCGAGCAGCGCACGCUGCCGCCUCAUUUAUUCCGAGGCUGAUCAUUAUAAUUAAGGCUCUUUGCCGCACACGUGCGUUCCCUGACGAUCCCCACCCCCACCACUACCACCGCCCUCAUGGAACGAGGAGCUCUCCUCCCUCCCGGCAGUCCACCCUAGGCCCUGGAUGGUUCCCCCGACGGAGCGCAUACGAUGGAGCAAUACAUUUGUUGAGUGGUGAAUGACGACUCGGAGGCAGGUUUGCAGGUCACACAUGGGUCUUGCUGUCCAUCUGUCAUGAGGGACCGACACUUCAAAAGUGUAGACGAAUGGUUUAAAAUUCAUAGAUGGAACAACAUCUUGGUAAAUCUUGAUACAAUGGCAAAUAUAAAAAAAACCCACAACAUAAUAUGUUUAGAUUAAUGUGAAAAGGAAACGUGUAGAAUGUAGCAUUAUACAUAUACAGUACAAUUAUACAGUUUUCAAUCUACAGCUGGGUGAAGGCCUCUCCAUGUCACGUCAUUCAUGAGGUCUGUUUUUUUUUUUAACCAUACUUCACGAUGCUGGCUAGUGCGAGCAGGUGUAUUGUUGGCCCAUGACCAAUUCAGCUAUCGCUCGCUGCGGAAGUUAGCACGGCGGGGAAUUGAACUCGAGUCACCGGGCUCAGCGCACAGCGAGCAAACUGCUGCUGCGACGCUCUCCCGCCUCAAGGCAAGAGGUGUCGGUGUUUGAAGCUGGGUGCUUGAAGAAAGUGAGGAACUCAUUUGACGAUACCAGAUUUACUGUUGGUCUGGCGAAAUGUUUUGGCAUCGGAAGCAUGUGUGGAGAAACAGGUCUUGAUCCCAUAAUCACCAUUUUUUUUGCAAAACUAAUUUCGGAAAAGCCUUGCAGGAAAGGCUUGUGCAGGGAAGGUUGAGUAAGUGUGGUCUUGUGACCUCAUCAGGAAGACAGAGCUGGCCAAGUCACUUAUUCUUAUCAAGCAGCCAAGGCAGAUAUUUCACCAAGAUACUACGUAUGCACAUUACUUUUUAAAAAGGGCCUUGCAUUCAUGAAUAUAAAAUUACUCGCUGCAUGUCUAACUGGAAUCUUUAAAUGACUGACACUGUACUGCUCUUCUUAUAGGUCAACUCAUGGCAGGGCCUUCGGUUAGCCUCUGUUUUGUAAAAAAAUAAAUCCCCCGAACUCUAAUUACAUAAUUUCAAAUGUAAAGUGUCACAACGGUCAUUCGGUCACUGUUCUUUAUUUAACCAGGAGAUGAAAUUUAACCCAUUGAGACACAUGAAAUGCUGCCUAGGGUGACCGAGGUUACAUCAAGACAUGUUACAUAUACAGAAUACUGUAUUUUCAAAACAUUUUUAAAUUAACACAUCUCGAUUAAAUUUGUACAUUAUUUUUGACAUUAUUUUUUGACAGUUUAUUGUGUACAAUUAAUAAGGGCCAUUGCCCAAAACGGCACCGAUUACAUAUUUCGCGUUUAAGGCAGUGUUAUGGACAAAUAUGUUUGUUGUCCUUCCCCACACAUGUGAUUAGCACGGUUGGCUAACAUACAGUGUAAAAGAAGUUUAACAUAUAUACAAAUAUGUUCCUUUUUUUAAACAAAAUUUGACAACAAUUUUAAAUUAUACGUCUAAGUAAAGAAGGUGAACUGCACUUAUUUUUGUUACAUAAAAUAUAAAACACAUUGAGAAAAUAAAUUGACAAGAAUGGUCAUGUAGAGGCAUUGGAGAAAAUUGCACGAGAUACGAUUGAAUGCAAACAUUCUGGCUUAAAACUGCCAGAACACAUUAAAACAACCGCGGUCUGAUCAAUGGUGAUAUGAAUUAUAUGCCUGUUAUCAAAAAUAUGUUUCAGUUUCAUAUUUCUGGCGUUAUGUUCCGAAUUUUGUCCUGUAAUUUCUAAAAAUAAUAUUUUUUUAUCAUUUACAGCCAGUUGUCAAUCCACUGCUAGGUGAAGGCCUUCCAACUCUGUCGGUCAUGGCAGAUGUUUGAUAAGCAUAGUGAAUUACGGUAAAACAACCGCCAUGACUGGUAGAGUAGGAAGGCCAUGGCAGUUAUUCGACCAUACUUCCCCAUGCUCGGCAGUGUAGUUUGGUGAAGAUGGGGACAGGCGGACAAGACUGGUACAGGAAUCACUACCCACUCAUGUUAACACUCGAUUCACCAGGUUCAUAUCAUAGCAGGCUAAUCAAGGUGCCAACACUUUGUUAUUUAUAUCUAUUAAUGCUUGAAUUGUCAAUAUUGAUUUCCAAUAGGGCAUUAUUUGUUACAAACAAACAAUUUGUUGUUGUUAUUCUGAAAGCACGACCGUGUGAAAUACUGCAGUGUAAAUUGUGAAAUUAUUUUUGCGUGAAAUAUAAUGUUGUAGUUCAGUGGUGAACAUUUUGCACUCUGAAUCUGGUGACCAGACUUCCAUCCAGUCAUAAUUAACAUAUUGAGCCGUAUCUGAAUCAGUCCUUAGCCUACCCCUCACCAAGCCUGUAUAGGCUUUGUGCAAGCAAUCGCCUUGCCCAACAUGGCAUCUAGAGACCCUCAUAAGGCAAUAGCUUGACACAGGAUUGGAAAUUGUUAUUAUUAUUACAACCAUGUGUUUUUUUUGCAUUAAUUAUUGCAUCUUGCGAGUCUAAACAGCAAAACAAUAUUAAUUCGAUUUGUUUUGAGCUUUCGCAGAGAUUAUGUAGAUCACAUUGCAGUGCAUGUAUCCGAUUAGGAUAUCUUGGGAGCACAGCAAUAUAUUGUGAAUUUAGCUUAUACCACUGGACCCUCCAUAGAAUUUCACAUUUUAGAUGCUUCUCUAUUAUUUAUUCAACUGAUGCUUGACAAUAUAUGAAAUUAAGUGUUUCCCUUGAAGUAAAGAGGCUUUGUUACUUAAUAGGAAUACUGGAAUGUGGUGCAUUUUUCAAUGUGAGCAUGUACAUUCGAAGCUGUGUAAACACAAAUAUGUUUUAAACAUGUAAUCUAUUUAGUAUAGCAUUGUAUUGUAUUGCCUAAUUGACAAUAUAUAUAACAAAAAAAAUGAGCGCUCAGAAUUGCAAUAGUAAUCUAAAUUCGUACAAAGUUUUGAAAUGUACUGAUACAUUAUAUGGAAUGAGUGACCUUGAGUGAGAUUUAUCUCUUGGAAUUGCGGUAUUUGUUGAGCCUAUUUCCAUGGCCAGAAGAAAAGGAAAACAUACUGGCUUGUUUUUAACAUUAUCUACGUUCCCCGACCCGGCAUUUCUAUUGCAUCGAUAAAUUCCGCUGAAGACGUGGUAUUUGAGGAAUGUGACUCCCCUCAGAAUGAGUUGUUGUGGACGAUCACAAUUACUGCCACAACCUCCAUCUGCCUCAAGAGAUAUCACCAAGCCAGUUAGCAACAGGCACCUCCUAUUCAAGCAUUAAAAUUAGUCACACGGUAAAAAAUAUUAUUGACCACAAUAUUCAGCAACUGAAUUAAGUGCUGGGAGUGAAACAUCGGACAUCGCGCCGAACAACACAAUCAGAAAACACAUCGGAGAGCUAAUCAAUAAGGUAUUUAAAUGAAACCAUGACUAUAUAUCGUGGGAGUUCAUAAAAUUGCACGGGUGGGAUGGCGGGUCAGUUAUGUUCCUAUUAGGCUAACAAGUAGCUCAAUAUAAAAUAAUUACGUAAAUAAAUUACGUGUCGUAGGGAAAUAAAAUGAGGAAAAUGCGCUGGGAGGAAUUUUAUGUUGUCGCUGUUUCUCUUGUAUUUUCUGUGCUGUAAUAGUUUUCAUGCAUCAUGGCGAAGCUACAACCUGCUUUAAAAUUACUUACAAAAAAUAUAUGUAAUGAAAUUCAAAACUUGCUUUUACAACCACUGGAUAAAAAUAGUUCAGUGUUAGCUGAAAUAAUGAAUUUAGCAUUUUGUUUGGUCAUCAUAAUGUUUAUUCCAUUUUCACGAAAUUCUAAGAGAUCGGAAUGGAUUGAGCAUUGAAGCCUAAUUCAUUGUAUGGGGAUUCGCUAAAAUCAAUAAGUUCCUUUAUUUAGAAUAAGGUGAAAUCCAAUUGCGAUACCAUAUUUUUGGAAAGGGAAUUGGGGCACACAUUCCUCAAUGCGAUUACUCUUUCAGCCUUGCGUUUUAUUUCCCAAAUUGGAACCACUACCACCCAACAUUGCCAUAGAUUUAUUGAGUGCUACUCUUUUAGUUUUCUCUAUUUUCCACCCCAUCUCACAAUGCUUUGUGUAUUCAGGGCAGUAAACAAUGACUAUUUAAAAAAAAAUAUCAUACUAUUGUAAAGAAAAAGCGAUGCAUAGUACAUGGUGCCUGCCAGUAUUCAAUAUGUGAAAAAGCAGAGAGAAAUGUUCGCUGGGUGUACGCACUUUCAAUCGACACAGUGCCAAUGUCACAAGUGCUGACGUACCAAAAAGCAAGAAUGGAACUUGUUAAUUGGAAUGUGUUGCACGUAAACUUGAGAGAACAUUGUAAAUCCCACACCAUUGUAACCAGAUCUGGCCACAUGAAUUACGAGGCACCCGGGAAUUUAAUUUGUGAGAUCGGUUGUAAUUAUUCUCACGAUUGCCUUAUUGUCCCUUUGGAAACUUUUCCCGGCACUGUUCUUAAUUUUCACGUAACUUUAAGGACAUCUCAAGUUUCGUAUGGGAGGUAAGGGGGAAUAUCAUAGCAGGUAAAUAUUUUCAUAUAAUUUCAAUUGAUUAACACUUAAAAAGGCAAGCAAUGGUUUCACACUUGAUGAUGAUUGCUUGUGUUGCAGUCGAAA